rfam:Schistosoma haematobium scaffold365_17, whole genome shotgun sequence.
AUACAGUUGACGAGCCCCACAUGGGAUGAAACGCGCGUCCUGCAU